rnacentral:rRNA from 1 species
AUGGGACUAUGCAUAAACACCGCAAAAUCCACGGCCUCGCCGAUCAGCUACAAUGACCUAGACCUAGCUGAUGUGCUGCACAACUUUGCCGACUCAAUUGCCCCGUUCCCGAUCAAAUACCUCGGCCUCCCGCUUGUCACAGGCCGGCUUCGGCUCGUGCAUCUGCAGUUUAUCAUAGAUAGAAUCAGGGCCCGACUGGCGGGCUGGAAAAGAAACCUAAUCCACAUCGUGGGACGACGAGUGCUGGUUCGCUGCGUCCUCAGCGCCAUGCCCACCUUUGCGCUUACCGUGCUGAGGGUGCCCAAGAAGAACCUAAAAGAAAUAGACAAGUGCCAAAGUUGUUUCCUUUGGAAGCAAGACGAGGAGAUCUCCGGCGCCAGCUGCAAAGUAAGCUGGGUAGCGGUUUGCACGCCAACGAAAACUGGGGCCUGCGAAUCCCUGACCUACCGCAUUUUGGGGAGCUCUUUGCUUGCGCUGGCCCUGGCUCGGAUGGUGCCACCCUGA